ACAAAGGACAUUUAAAUAGAUUAGACACCAAGCAGUAACCCUGAAAACAAGUGAUUUCUCUCAGAUAUUUCGCGCUAAGAAACUCAAGGUGUAUUUAAGCCAAUUCCAGUUUCUUGCAUUCUUUCCUCCAAAAAGGGGAGAGAAGAACAGUUGUUGUCUAGUUAAACUCAACUCUUAGCUCUUUUAUGGUUGUCCAUUCUGAUAAAUAUUUUCAUGUAAGACCUCCUAUGAAGUAGUUACAUUCACAUCUCUCUUGUGAAGCCUCAACACAUGCUGUGCAGUGACUAAAAGUAUUUGUUCUUUAGAAAAAAAGCAAUUACCCAUAAAGUACGCAUCCUGACCUCUCUCUCUCAUCUUCACUGCAUCACAGCAGAAAGAACAUUUUGUUUUCAUAUCUGAUUAUGUUGUAAAACUGACGUUAGCCCUGAAACAAAUGAUAGCUCUGAAACUGAAGACAUCAUUUAUCUGCAGGAACAAAAACAAGCAAAGCAGCAGCCGCGCAAGUCUUGACAAAAGUAGCUUCUGUAGCCAGUUCUAUUCUUUCAAUUCCAAGGUAGAAAAACCAAGGAGUCAACCGUUAAGAAAUGCCUUCUACAUCCUACUAAGAAUGAAGCUCAAGGCCAAGGUGCAGGAAACGCACAAAGGUAUUCCACAGGAGAGACAGAGCAUGUUAUGAUGCUAUAGUGUGAUAGAAAGCACAGCAAUAAAAGCAGGGUGGCAAAGUCUCAAGCUACAAAUGAGGAUAAGCCCAAGCACAGCAGCUACAGACACAGAAACAAAGGGAAAAAGCUUACCCUCGAAAGGUCUCUGGUACACAGAGAUAUCCAACAAGAUCCCUUCGCUUCCCCAUCAACCCUUAAGUAAGGUCUGAGAAGGGGUGCAUUCUGGCUCCACCCCUUCCAUCACUCAGGUACAUUGCAUGCACCUAAGCUCUUCUGGGUUGGCCCUGUCUUCCCACCAGGUGCUCAAUCACUGUUUUAAGCCAUGACUCAGCAUUUCUGCUAUGCAUGUACACACAGCCAUCUCCAGCCACUUUCUGCAGCACAGUUAGGACUUUUGUUAAACAAAACAAAAAAGCAGUGACCAAUGAACUUAUGUGAUCGAUUAUAAGUGUUUGUUUUAAUUUUUUUUCUUUUAAAUUUAGAUAAUCUAAUGUUCCUAAAAUAAGUUGGUACUUUGGUUCCUAAUGACAUAACGUUGUUGCAUGAACUUGCAAUCUAUUAUUUCAUUUAUGUGGUAGGUCAGCUUACCCUGUACUCUCAGUGAGACAGAAUACAGCCUUAUUAGUUACUGUACAAAUACAGACCACACAGAAUGCUAAAGGUGAAGAAAGGCAGUUUACUAGUAGAUAGUUAUAGUGCCUACAUUAUGAUCAAAGGGGAAAUUUCGUACCUAGAAAAUCUUUUCCAUCCUGCAAGUUGCGUGGGCUUACUAGACAGGGAGAACAUGUGCUGUCAAAUAUUCUUCUGGCAGUAGUUUAAAAAAAAAAAAACAACAAAGGAGGAAAAAAAGAACAGAAAAAAAAAAGGACAAACAUAAUUUUAAAAACAUCACUAACAACUUAGCUGCUAGUUUGUGAUAUUGCAUGGAAUAAGAAUAAGCUGGCAGAGAACCAUUAGAAAUAUAAGACAAGGGCCAGGCUUUCUGUAAAGCUGUGGAAAAUUUGCCAAAUUUGGCAGAACUGCUUUAGACUCGUGUGCAAGGCAACUGGUGCAGCAUACUACAAAUACAUCAUCUUUCAGUAUAAACUAGAAAAAAUGCAGUGAAAAAGUGACUACUCAUGUCAAAGAACUGAUUUAUGGCAUUGCUUUAGAGAGAACAGUAGAUUUUGAUAGAUCCAUUAUCUAUUGGCUAGGAAAUCACCCUGUCAAUGACAUGUAUGGGAAUACUGUUCAUUUAAUUGGUAGUGCAUACCGAUCAAUUCCAAAGUAUAACAUUUCCUUAUUAGCUCUAGAUUACAGUACUGCUGCAAAUGCUUAUGUGAUGCUGUAAAUACCCUGAAAUUAUAUAGCACUAUCAAGGGAAGCACUCACAAGGAAGUUGGAAAGUUUUGCAGAGUGCAACAGAAAAUGCAGCAGGGAGCAGUCACAAAACACAGCCCAGUGGGUCAGCAGCACUGUCAGCAGAUGAUGCCCUGUAUUCCAGGAUUCACAAAACACUCCUCAAAGUUCUGGAACUACUGGGAAAAAAAAAAAAAGGGGGGGGGGGGGGCAGGGAGAGGAAACUCAUGUAUGCCCAUGCCAUGCAAUUUCUACAUUUUGUGACCAAUCACUGAGGAGUGGCACUCAUUUCAGCAGCUCUCAAACAUUUCCAGGCAGUCCCUUAGAUCUCCAGGAUUUGUAGAUCUGAACACUCUCCUCCAAGCUUCUAACCAGUUUGAGCCUGAAUGCACUGUCUGCUGGCUUAACUUGGCAAAGCACAAGAAUAGAACUCCUGCAGUAGGGAAGAUCAUAAUAUUUGCAUAUCAUUCAGUGAUGAAGUGCCUGACAAAUCAAAUGGUAUCAAAGUAAAGAAAGUCAGAUAUCAGAUACAAAUUAAAUUACAUGGAAUAAAAGCCAACUCUGUAAGUUGUUAAUCUAUCCUGUGUUAGAAAUUCAAUAAGUUAGUUAACAAAUCUAAACUGUCAUUUUCUUUCACAGCUUUAGCCUGUUAGGGCUCAUUUAAAGCUUCCAAACCACAUUCAGCAAUAUUUCUGGCCUUGCGUUUUCCACCAAGUCUAGUCACCUGCAUGGAAUAGGUGAUCUAUCCUGAAAUGCACUGCUUUCUCUCCUGGAGACAUAGAACAUACCACAGUCAUGCUUUAGACACUCUCUCCUUCACAUUUCCAGGGUAUAGAAGAGAACGAAGCAUC